AUUGAACGCUGGCGGCAUGCCUUACACAUGCAAGUCGAACGGUAACGGGCCUUCGGGUGCCGACGAGUGGCAAACGGGUGAGUAAUGUAUCGGAACGUACCUUUCAGUGGGGGAUAACGUAGCGAAAGUUACGCUAAUACCGCAUAUUCUGUGAGCAGGAAAGCAGGGGAUCGCAAGACCUUGCGCUGAUUGAGCGGCCGAUAUCAGAUUAGCUAGUUGGUGAGGUAAAGGCUCACCAAGGCGACGAUCUGUAGCGGGUCUGAGAGGAUGAUCCGCCACACUGGAACUGGGACACGGUCCAGACUCCUACGGGAGGCAGCAGUGGGGAAUUUUGGACAAUGGGGGCAACCCUGAUCCAGCCAUGCCGCGUGAGUGAAGAAGGCCUUCGGGUUGUAAAGCUCUUUCGGCCGGGAAGAAAUCGUAUGGGUUAAUACCCUGUGCGGAUGACGGUACCGGCAUAAGAAGCACCGGCUAACUACGUGCCAGCAGCCGCGGUAACAC
rnacentral:rRNA from 1 species